rnacentral:rRNA from 1 species
GACGAACGCUGGCGGCGUGCUUAACACAUGCAAGUCGAACGAUGAAGCCGGAGCUUGCUCUGGUGAAUUAGUGGCGAACGGGUGAGUAACACGUGAGUAACCUGCCCUUGACUCUGGGAUAACUGCUAGAAAUGGUAGCUAAUACCGGAUACGACCCUCGGAGGCAUCUCCAGGGGGUGGAAAGAAUUUCGGUCAAGGAUGGACUCGCGGCCUAUCAGCUAGUUGGUGAGGUAACGGCUCACCAAGGCGACGGCGGGUAGCCGGCCGGGGAGGGGGACCGGGCACACUGGGACUGAGACACGGCCCAGAGUCCUACGGGAGGCAGCAGUGGGGAAUAUUGCACAAUGGGCGCAAGCCUGAUGCAGCAACGCCGCGUGAGGGAUGACGGCCUUCGGGUUGUAAACCUCUUGUAGUAGGGAAGAAGCGAAAGUGACGGUACCUGCAGAAAAAGCACCGGCUAACUACGUGCCAGCAGCCGCAGUAA